CUUCUUCUUCUACAAGCGGAUCUGUGUCCAGCACUCCCGUUCACAGCUGUGUUUCGGUUGAGAGCUGGGCAGCUCGACGAUUUACGGAGCCAUACUUUUUCUUCACAUGUAUGGCACUUAACGGUGUCCUGUCGACAGGUCCCAGAUUAAUGUUCUGCGCCGGGUCAUCCUCGGGUCUUGAGCUCCCGCCUUGGUGAGCUCGGCUUGAGAGCCUGGAGGCGGACGGCGUCAUAUUUCAUGUCCCUUUGCCGAUUGGCCAUUGGCUACUGAGGUUAGGGAAAAACCAUGACUUGCCAACAUAC
rnacentral:sRNA from 1 species